ensembl:lncRNA
GUUUACAAAUAAUGGAGUACAAGCAGCAGCUUUCAGCCUGUGCUCGCUUCACUUCAGCCCUGUGAGCACAUUGGCGUGUGGUGCUCCUGCAGUGUUAGAUGCUGCAUCAGUGGUAUCGGCGCGUCCUCCUCCACCGCUUCCUUCCCCUCGCCCCAGCUCUGGCUGCCCCGGUGCAUCUGCAGCGUCAUCAUCACUGGCUGCAACAAAACUGGUGUUGCUGCCUCACCAGCCCUCCCGAGGAAGUCAUUUUUCUCCUAGCUGAGGAACAGCUUCCAGGUGCCUCACUGCUUCAAAGCCCACAUUACUGUUUUUCAAGUCCAAGUUGGCUAGGGCCCUGGGCAGUCUGAUCCAGUGGGUGGCAACCAGCCCAUGGUGGGGAUUGGAGCUUGCUGAUCUUUGGUCCCCUCCAGCCCAAACUGUUCUGUGAUUCUGUAAUUCUGUGAUUUUUUUUACCUAAUACUGACUGUUUGUGCUCUGACUUCAGAAUUUUGUUUUAAAAAGAUGAAUUUUCUUUGCAUUCAACUCUGCCUCCCUGAUUUUCCACUUACUCCUAAACCUCAGAGGGAAAAUGUGUCUUCCUUCCCCCCAGACUUGGUUUUCUCUUCAGCUGGGACUGAUUUAAUAGUAAGUGGGCUGUUAUGCUGCACUUCCAAGAUUGCUCAAAAGAUGUUGCAGAAAACUGAGCUGUAAUGAAACAGAAAACGAAUUCAGAAUAGAACGAAUAACCCUUUCUUCAACCUCCAGUUAGAAAAAGAGAUGAUUCACUGUAGAAAGUCUAGAUGAAGUUUCUCCAAUUCAGUUCUUGUUUAUUGUCUGUGAGGCGGUGCCGUACUUGUCGUUCUGGCAAUGUGGUAUUGCUUUACUUGAAAAUGGCCUAGUGGCUUUAUUGAUUCAUUCAGGAAGAUGGUUUUAUUUUGUUGGUAAAUUAAAAGUCUGUUUUUGCUUAUAUCAUCAAGAAUGUGGAGCAUACUUUAUGUUUGAGACCACAGAGUAUUUUGGAAAAUGUAAGUAAAGGUAUAAUAAGUUAUGACAAGUAAUACAAUAAAGAUACAGCAC